rnacentral:ncRNA from 1 species
UUGCCCAUCGGGGCCUCGGAUACCUGCUUUU